rnacentral:lncRNA from 1 species
UCGAAAAAAAACAAUUCCAAAUAACUACAAUCAUUAAGUAGCUAAUUGCCAACACCUUGAAUGAGAUAAAGUCCUAAAUUAAAUUUAGGUCAUAACAGUCCAAAAUCAAAUAUGUGACAGGAAGAAACUAACCAAAAAAACACUGGACUUACAUGCUAAGUUAAAGUUUAACAUACCCUUAAAAUACUGUUAACACCAUGGUGAAUCUAGUAGAUCAUGCAGUAUAGCCUAAGGUAAUACAGAAAACAAGCUAGAUUCUAACAACAUUCUGAUACUACGCUCAAAUUCUAAAAUCGAUUAUAUGCUCCAAUUUUGAAUUUCAAUAUUCAAUAGGGUCCAAAAGGGGUACCUGAAUAUCAAAGAAAACCAAAUGAAAAUGAAGAUUUCAAUAGUAGCAACAAAUUGAGUGAAUCAGUAGACCGAACACAACAAAGUUCAAACUUCCUCAAACCAUUUGUAACCCAGACACCAGAAAUACUUUGAAGGUUUAAAACAAAUCUGAUUAACUAUGAAGGUUAUGAGCAAAGCCAAAACCAAUUUCAACUAAAGAAAUGCCGGAAAACUUCAGUAUUCUUUUAGAGUCUAAAAAAACUCAGUCGUUUCUUAGUUUUUCCAGGAUCUAAUCUCUAUAAUCUCCCUUGACAAUGAAGGAAAACAAGCCUCUUAUAGAAGACCUUUAGGGCAGCAGAAAUGACCCUAAUAUUUAUCAAUUACCCCUUCCCCAAUUUUUAAUUUUCAACUUAGACCCUAAUUUUUAGUUUGUUUGUUAAGUCAACCCCAUUACCCACUUUCCUAGCAGCUUCCUAGUUAGUUAGGACAGAUUUCUUUUAUCCAAACUCCCUAAAUUACCCUUUGUAUUCCUAGUAUUAACCUUCCUAAACCAAACCAAUGCAGGCCACAUGAUUCCCAAACCUGGGCCUAAACAAGUGGGCUUCUAAUGCCCCAGGUCUGGACUGCCACGAACCCCAAAAAUGGUCCCAAAUCAGUAAAGCAAGGAAACAAAUCAAAUAAAACCAAAGGGAUCAAAUUAACCAAUAGAACCUAAACAUUAUGACCCAAACCCCACUGAUUAAUUCAGCCUACGAUUGGAUAAAGAAUGAAAUAGAAGAGGAAAAAGAAGCACAGUAGAGCUGGGCAUGCUGGUACCAUUUAACAAACCAACGGAAAUCUAGUUUAAACAAAGAAAACAAAAGAAAGAAAUCGACCAACUGACUUGAACAAAACAUAGCAGAAAUAAUUGACAAACGAAUGGUAAAAAAUGAAAUCAGAAUCAAGAAUCAAGUCAAACAAGGUUAAAGAGGGACUGACGAGAUAUGGGAAAAGAAGAACGGACAUGCAAUCAAAAUGAAAAGCAAGUGUUGUUUUACUAGAAACACACGAGUGAGUCGAUGAACAACAUCACUUGAUAAACUUGUCGGCAUCCUUUAAUUUGAGAUGAAAUUGAUAUCAAUUGCAUGUUCUAUUGAGAACAAGUGAACAACACAAAUUUCAACUUUAAUCGCUCUUGGAAACAUGACGAUUGGGAGAUUUGGGGAUUUUAGUGUUUAGGGUGAUGACCUCAGAUCUAAAUUUCGAGGCGAUGGAGAGGGAUUUGAGGGGAAUUAUUUUGGGGUUUAGGAAGAGGAGGGGCUGAUUGUUAUUGGGUGUAACUUUGGAGGUGGUUUGAGGUAGCGCCACCACCGGAGAUGGUGAGGAAUUUAGGGCGGCGUUAGGGUUUGGGUUCAGAGAGUCUGAGGAUUGAAAGGGGAAGCUGAUGGAACUG